UGGGAGGCACAUAUGCAAACUGUUGUAAUUCCUACAGCGUUCACCUGUUCUGGAUGUAAAUACCCUCAAAUUAAAGCUGACAGUCCGUAAAGCAUGUCUUGUUCAUUUCAAAACGAUUAUGUUAGUGUAUAGAGCCAAACAAAUUAUAGUAUUGUGUCGGUCCAAAUAUUUAUGGACCUAACUGUACACACACACACACACACACACAUGGAAAUCUUCUAUAUUUGACUUUAUUUCAGUUGUGCAGAUGAAAUUGUUAUACCAAUUUAAUACAAAGGUAUGAUGUUGUUCACUUGUUUUGCUGCUCUUUUUAAUUCGGCCUAGAAAAAUGAAGUCUAUGCAAGCCUGUUAUGUUUUGCCAUAUUUAUACAGUCAGGCUCCGGAAAGCCAAAUGGAGGGGAGCCAUAAUGUAGUGAAUGAGUGUACUGAUGACGCGGCAUUAUUCAUGUACAGCGUGUCAUUUGUCCUGUUAAGAUGUGAUGGUUAUACAAUAUUUUUCCGUGUUCGCUUUAAGAGUUACCUACGGUACUGAACUACAGCAUGGUAAUGUUACAUAUUGGGGCAUGUCAUAUGUGUCUUGCUAGUGCCCUGUACAGGAGUGUUUAUUUUCUCUAGAUAGACGGUAAAACAGUGCCUAAAAGACUCAUGGUUACUUGUUAAAUGGAUUUAUUCUGGAAAAUUCUAAUAAAUUAUUUUGGUAUUCUUCA
rnacentral:lncRNA from 1 species